rnacentral:rRNA from 1 species
UCGAGAAUCUUUCACAAUGGGGGCAACCCUGAUGGAGCGACGCCGCGUGGAGGAUAAGGUCUUCGGAUUGUAAACUCCUGUCAUGCGCGAACAAGGUUGCAGAGUUAAUAACUUUGCAAAUUGAUGGUACCGCAAGAGGAAGAGACGGCUAACUCUGUGCCAGCAGCCGCGGUAAUACAGAGGUCUCAAGCGUUGUUCGGAAUCACUGGGCGUAAAGGGUGCGUAGGUGGCGUGGUAAGUCAGAUGUGAAAGCCCGGGGCUCAACCUCGGAAUUGCAUCCGAUACUACCAUGCUAGAGUACUGAAGAGGAAACUAGAAUUCUCGGUGUAGCAGUGAAAUGCGUAGAUAUCGAGAGGAAUACCAAAGGCGAAGGCAGGUUUCUUGGCAGUUACUGACACUGAGGCACGAAGGCCAGGGGAGCAAACG